ensembl:ncRNA C18B2.8 ncRNA
UGUUAGCUGCAUAUACAAUACGUUUUUGGCGCCUGACGCGAGAAGGUGUAAUGCGUGGCACGCAUUGAUAAGCGACACGGUUUGACAGGAAACUUUUAAGCAGUGCUCUGCCAUUUCUGUCUUUGCACUCCAUUACA